UCCCAGCCUUCCCACUGGCUAGUGAGCUGUUGGAGGAAAAGGUGCUUGAGUUUUUCAUCUUGUGCCUCUUUCCCGCAUAGCACUGUACCUUGCACGUUCUAAGCCUCCUCAAAAGAGUGUGUGGAUCCAAAUGGCAGCUUUUCAGGAACUGUUUUUAAUUUUCUUUGAGAAGAACAGACAAAGUGAAGGCUCAGAAAUGAGAAAGGAAAAUAUGCUCUUCUGGUGUUUGAUGUUCCAAAGAGAUCCCUCCAGCAAGGAGUUAAGGUCGGAUGUGGCCUAGUGCCCAGUGAGAUCCAGUGGG
rnacentral:lncRNA from 1 species